ACAAUUUUCGAACAGAGUGGUCUCUUCCUUCUUAAGCAAUCAGCUCUGUCCAGUGCUCAAUCCCCGAUUUCCGACCUCUGCUCGCGCGUGGAAACACGCCAGCCUGCAAGGACUCCCGCACGUCGGCCUGCACAGCCCGAUCGAUACCCGCAAGCCCGCGAUCGGACCCGCUCGGUUUCACUGCAUGCCGCCUUCCAGUCAACCUCCGGUUGUCGUCCUCUUCUCGUUCUUGCACAUAGCUGGACAAAUUCUAGCAUGCCACUUCACCCAUUACGCCGCAGAUCGACAACCGUUUUCAGCUCAAUCUCCGAAUAAAAAGCCCUAAGUGGCUUUGGUCAAAAACCGUUUCCGAAGCCAAAGCCACAGCAGAAAGAGCGAAGUUAUAAGAGGGAGGAGAGGGCAGGUUAGGAUUAAGCUUAGGUUUUCACAACAAUGUCGGAUCCUGAAAGUGAGGUUUCGUCAGAGUUUUUGAGGCCUAGUAAUGGCUCUGAGUUGGGGCAGAAGAAGACUGAGGAUAGUAGCUCUGUUUCCAACGGCAGCGGGAAGGUUGAGCCUGAGGAAGGGAAUGGUUCCGUUAGCAAAAUGGAAGAUUUAAGACAUGGGGAUGGGCUGAGCGACGCAAAGUGUGCUGAAGAUGAAUAUCAAGGCGAGGUUGCUGCACCGGCAGAGGCGUUAAAAGAAGAAGAAUCGGAUGGUGGGAUUGAGAUUGUUUCCUCAGUAAGGAAGCGGAAGACGAUGGAUGGCUCAGAGUUUGAGGAGAAGCUGGAUCAUAUGACGAGUUCUUCAUUCAAAGAAGAAGAAUUGGAUGGUGGGAUUGAGAUUGAGGCCCCAGUAGCGAAGCGGAAGAGGAAGGCUAGCUUAGAGUUUGAGGAGAAGCAUGAUAAGAUGACGAGCUCUUCACAUUGUGAUGAAGUCAAUGUUGGAACUGGGAUUGCAUCAUCUGUAAAGAAUCGGAAGAGGAAAGCUCCCAUAAAUUCUGAUUAUGAGAAGAAUCAGGUUACCAAGAGAAAGUUACUGAUUGGUGAAGAUGCGCUAAUGUGCCAUCAAUGCCAAAGGAAUGACAAGGGAGCUGUGGUGCGAUGCAUGGCUUGCCAAAGAAAACGGUAUUGUUACCCGUGUAUGAAGAGAUGGUAUCCACAGUUAACUCCUGAUGAUUUUGCUAUUAAAUGCCCAGUUUGCCGUUUCAAUUGCAAUUGCAAAUCAUGUUUACGCAUGAGAGGAAUUUCUGAGCCUCCUAAAAGGGCCAUUCAAGAGGAGGACAAAAAACAAAACUAUUUAUAUGUAUUACGUCUGUUGCUUCCAUGGUUCAAAGAACUACGAAAAGAACAACAAUUGGAAAAGGAACUUGAGGCUCAGAUAAAAGGCAUUGCAUUGACUGAACUAAAGUUGCAACAAGCUCCUUGUGCAAAAGAUGAACGAGUAUAUUGCAAUUACUGCAGCACAUCAAUUGCAGAUUUCCAUAGAAACUGUUCUAGUUGCGCCUAUGACCUAUGUUUGUCUUGCUGUCGAGGGCUUCGUGAGGGGUGUUUGCCUGGGCACAGUAGCCAAUGCGGAGUAAAUACUGAAGCCUCUGAAGAUCUUCUAAAUGCACUAUUGCAAUGGAGAGCAAAUGCUGAUGGUAGUAUUUCUUGUCCACCUGAAGUAUUGGGUGGUUGUGGUAGUUCUCUUUUGCAGCUCAAGCAUAUUCUUUCAGAAGAUAUGCUUUUUGAGUUAGAAAAGAAGGCUAAUGGAAUUGUUGGACUCAAAAGCAGUGAACUUACUGAAUCACAUGAAAACUCUGGAGCUUGCCCCUGUUUCUGUGUGUCAGAAAAGAUUGAUUCUGAUAGUGACUCAUUGAGAAAAGCAGCUUCUAGAGAAGGCUGCGAAGAUAACCUUUUAUUCUGUCCAAGUGCUAGUUGUAUUCCAAGGGGAGAACUGGAGCAUUUCCAGAAGCAUUGGGCUAAAGGUGAGCCAGUGAUUGUCCGUGAUGUGCUUGAUUUAUCUUCUGGAUUAAGUUGGGAACCAAUGGUCAUGUGGCGUGCAUUGCGAGAGAAGAAAGUGAGAAAGGUUAAAACUGAAAAUUUUGAAGUAAUGGCGAUUGACUGUUUGGACUGGUGUGAGGUUGAGAUAAAUAUUCAUCAAUUUUUCCAAGGGUACGCGACUGGGCGAUUUCAUCAGGGUGGUUGGCCUGAGAUGCUUAAACUUAAAGAUUGGCCCCCAUCUAGUUCCUUUGAGGAGCGUCUACCACGCCAUGGUGCUGAGUUCAUUGCUACUUUACCUCUUCAAGAAUAUACAAAUCCUCGGGAUGGCAAUCUUAAUCUUGCUGUGAUGCUUCCUAAAAAUGUUUUGAAGCCUGAUCUUGGUCCAAAAACUUACAUAGCUUAUGGAUUUGCUGAAGAAUUAGGCUCUGGGGAUUCUGUCACCAAGCUUCACUGUGAUAUGUCUGAUGCGGUGAAUGUACUAACACACACUCAAGAAGUUUCUCUUACUAAGGGCCACCUUUCUAAAAUUGAAAAAUUAAAAAAGGAGAAACAGGAGGCUGCUAUGAAACUACUACAUAAUGGAGGCAAGCAAGAUGUGGAAAAUACUUUUUCUAAUUGCAAGGACCAGCAGGCACUCAGUAGAGUGGUUAAAUCUUGCUCUGAUAAUGAGAAAAUUGAUAGUGAGAUUCAUGUGAUAGAUAAUAAACCUAUGUUGAUGCUUGAUUGCAUUAAUUCAGAUUUCCUUUCUGAAGGCAAGGCUUGUGAGUCCAUCUGUUCUGAAGGCAAGGCUUGUGAUUCCACCUGUUCUUUGGACGCAACUCUUGGGAAACAAAUUUUAGAAUUGCUUAGUGAUGGAGCUCGGUUUCCAAGAGAAGGUUUUCAACCUGAGUGUAGUGUCAAAGAUGAACAUAGUGAAAAAUGCGCUUCAAUUGUUCAGACUACAAGUUAUGCAGAGGAAUUAGUUUCUAUAAAUGAAUCUCCAACAGUUCUAGAAACUAAUUCUAGAACGGUUGGAGAUUCAUUUAUAGAAAUUGACCGUCAUGAUGAUUUAAGUCUUGGUAGAAACACAAGAGAAUGUUGUAGAACGUCGGAUUCAAAAGCUGAAGAAAGCAUUCAAAAUAUUGAUGAGAAAAGCCUCCUGUCUAAUCCUCGAAGAAGGGGCAGGCCUAGGGGAUCAAAUGAAAACCGUGGCGGCAGACAGGCUGAAUUUUCUAGCUCAAGAAAAUCUGGACUUGUGGACAAUGAGAAAAAGCAAAGAAAAAGGCGUAUUCAGGAAGUUUCUGAGAUAUCCGCUGAAGAGAAAAUGGGAAAAACAAUGAAAUUGAUGAAAGAAAAUGACUCUGCAAUCAUGUUUGGGAAAGAAGAACAUCCUUUUCCUGAUGAUAUGAUGAAUGGAGAGCACAUAGAAGGUGGUGCUUUGUGGGAUAUCUUCCGGAGAGAAGAUGUUCCAAAAUUAGAAGAGUAUCUCAGGCAGCAUUUCAGGGAGUUCAAACAUAUAUAUGAUUCUCCAGUGACGAAGGUAUUUCAUCCGAUACUUGAUCAAUCUUUCUAUUUGUCAAUGGAUCACAAAAGGAAACUGAAGGAGGAAUAUGGAAUUGAGCCAUGGUCGUUUGUGCAGAAACUUGGAGAAGCUGUAUUCAUCCCAGCAGGAUGCCCGCAUCAAGUUAGAAACUUGAAGUCUUUCGACCCGACUUCAAAGUUCGAUCAAUCCGCCGAUUCCUAGAGCUCUUCCGCUCGAUUGAUCAAGCCCCAACCACCUCGCCGAUCGAUCCCGAUCCUAGGGCUAGGCGGUGUGCAAGGCGUGCAAAUGGAAGGCAUGGGCAGCAUGCUUCUCUAUUUGGUCGAGAAAGGAGGCAAGGGCGGUUGGUGGCAUGCAUGUCUUCCAUCUGGCUGAUGGAGGGCAGGGGCUGGGGUCCAAUUUUUUCUAAAAAAAAUCUGUAGUUCCAGUCCUUCCAUUAUCCUGGUGUGCGUGAGAGCUGUAGAAGAGUGCUCUUCCAUUAUCCUCUUCCUUCGAUGCUACCUGCACUUGGAGCUCGAGAGAAAGAGACAGCAGAAGCGACCUACGAAAGGGCCUUGUGCAUGCGAUUGAGGCCAAGACUGAACAAAGACAGUCUUGCAUAAAGGUUGCUCUUGACUUUGUCUCACCUGAAAAUGUUCGCGAGUGCGUGAGGCUGACAGAAGAAUUCCGCAUGCUUCCACGGGAUCAUAGGGCUAAAGAAGAUAAGUUAGAGGU